CCCUCCGUCUUUGUGGGACGGAGGGAGUAUGUUCACACGCACGAUGGGCUCGGUACAUAUGAGAUUUGAGUGUGACUGUGCAAAGCUCCACAAUCAAAGGCUUGUUCUUAUCAGAGUCAUAUUGUUCUUCUUUCGAUGUACAUGGGUCGAUCGAGAUAGCAGCGAGCGGGUGAUCACACCAUUUUCCGCUCCGUCUUCGUCUUGUUUCUUUCAGGUUUCAGGCGUUAGCUGCUGGCCUCUGCCGCAGGGUGAUAUGACAGGAGAGACUUGUAAUGAAGGCUUCCGUUUAAUCAGAAGAAAAUGAUAAAAAUGAGCAUGGGAAAACGUGGUAUCUGAAAUUCAUGGGAAAAUUGUGGUCCAUUGGUUGGAGCGGAAAACUACAUGCAAUGAAACCAAAAUUUAAUUCAUUGAUGAGGCGGCCGUACAUGAUUGAAACGAGAUAUUAUGUUAUCUACUACUAGCAUUGAACUCUAGCUAGGGUUGCAAUUGCAAGUCACCAUCAGACCAGAUGCUUGUACAACUGCGUCUGAUACAAGUCAAA